UACAGAGGGUGCAAGCGUUGUUCGGAAUUAUUGGGCGUAAAGGGCGCGUAGGCGGUGCUGUAAGUCUGUAGUGAAAUCUCUGGGCUCAACUCAGAGUCUGCUAUAGAAACUGCAGUGCUGGAGUGUGGGAGAGGUGAGUGGAAUUCCCGGUGUAGCGGUGAAAUGCGUAGAUAUCAGGAGGAACACCGGCGGCGAAGGCGGCUCUCUGGACCGAUGCUGACGCUGAGGAGCGAAAGCAUGGGGAGCGAACAGG
rnacentral:rRNA from 1 species